CAAUAGCGUAUAUUUAAGUUGCUGCAGUUAAAAAGCUCGUAGUUGGAUUUCGGGUGGGAAUGGCCGGUCCGCCGUUUCGGUGUGCACUUGCUACGCCCACCUUGCUGCCGGGGACGUGCUCUUGAGUUCACGCUCGGGACACGGAGGCGGCGAGGUUACUUUGAGUAAAUUAGAGUGUUCAAAGCAGGCCUACGCUCUGAAUACAUUAGCAUGGAAUAACACGAUAGGACUCUGGCCUAUCUUGUUGGUCUGUAGGACCGGAGUAAUGAUUAAGAGGGACAGUCGGGGGCAUUCGUAUUUCAUUGUCAGAGGUGAAAUUCUUGGAUUUAUGAAAGACGAACUACUGCGAAAGCAUUUGCCAAGGAUGUUUUCAUUAA
rnacentral:rRNA from 1 species